rnacentral:rRNA from 1 species
AUGAACGCUAGCGGCAGGCCUAACACAUGCAAGUCGAGGGGCAUCACGAGGUAGCAAUACUUUGGUGGCGACCGGCGCACGGGUGCGUAACGCGUAUGUAACCUACCUAUAACAGGGGCAUAACACUGAGAAAUUGGUACUAAUUCCCCAUAAUAUUCGGAGAGGCAUCUCUCCGGGUUGAAAACUCCGGUGGUUAUAGAUGGACAUGCGUUGUAUUAGCUAGUUGGUGAGGUAACGGCUCACCAAGGCAACGAUACAUAGGGGGACUGAGAGGUUAACCCCCCACACUGGUACUGAGACACGGACCAGACUCCUACGGGAGGCAGCAGUGAGGAAUAUUGGUCAAUGGACGCAAGUCUGAACCAGCCAUGCCGCGUGCAGGAAGACGGCUCUAUGAGUUGUAAACUGCUUUUGUACGAGGGUAAACUCACCUACGUGUAGGUGACUGAAAGUAUCGUACGAAUAAGGAUCGGCUAACUCCGUGCCAGCAGCCGCGGUAAUACGGAGGAUUCAAGCGUUAUCCGGAUUUAUUGGGUUUAAAGGGUGCGUAGGCGGUUUGAUAAGUUAGAGGUGAAAUCCCGGGGCUUAACUCCGGAACUGCCUCUAAUACUGUUAGACUAGAGAGUAGUUGCGGUAGGCGGAAUGUAUGGUGUAGCGGUGAAAUGCUUAGAGAUCAUACAGAACACCGAUUGCGAAGGCAGCUUACCAAACUAUAUCUGACGUUGAGGCACGAAAGCGUGGGGAGCAAACAGGAUUAGAUACCCUGGUAGUCCACGCUGUAAACGAUGAUUACUAGGUGUGGGGGGUCUGACCCCUUCCGUGCCGGAGUUAACACAAUAAGUAAUCCACCUGGGGAGUACGGCCGCAAGGUUGAAACUCAAAGGAAUUGACGGGGGCCCGCACAAGCAGUGGAGUAUGUGGUUUAAUUCGACGCAACGCGAAGAACCUUACCAAGGCUUGACAUAUACAGGAAUAACUAAGAAAUUAGUUAGCUCUUCGGAGUCUGUAUACAGGUGGUGCAUGGUUGUCGUCAGCUCGUGUCGUGAGAUGUUGGGUUAAGUCCCGCAACGAGCGCAACCCUUAUCCUUUGUUGCCAGCGGUCCGGCCGGGAACUCAAAGGAGACUGCCAGUGAUAAACUGGAGGAAGGUGGGGAUGACGUCAAAUCAGCACGGCCCUUACGUCCGGGGCUACACACGUGUUACAAUGGUAGGUACAGAGGGUCGCUACUCCGUGAGGAGAUGCCAAUCUCGAAAGCCUAUCUCAGUUCGGAUUGGAGGCUGAAACCCGCCUCCAUGAAGUUGGAUUCGCUAGUAAUCGCGCAUCAGCCAUGGCGCGGUGAAUACGUUCCCGGGCCUUGUACACACCGCCCGUCACACCAUGAGAGUCGGGAACACCCGAAGUCCGUAGUCUAACCGCAAGGGGGACGCGGCAGAAGGUGGGUUCGAUAAUUGGGGUG